UACGGAGGGGGCUAGCGUUGUUCGGAAUUACUGGGCGUAAAGCGCACGUAGGCGGCUUUGUAAGUUAGAGGUGAAAGCCCGGGGCUCAACUCCGGAAUUGCCUUUAAGACUGCAUCGCUAGAAUUGUGGAGAGGUAAGUGGAAUUCCGAGUGUAGAGGUGAAAUUCGUAGAUAUUGGGGAAGAACACCGGGUGGCGAAGGCGGCGACCUGGUCCAUUUACUGGACGCUGAGGCGCGAAAGCGUGGGGAGCAAACAGG
rnacentral:rRNA from 1 species